AGGGGAUCGUAAGACCUCGCGUUAAUGGAGUGGCCGAUAUCUGAUUAGCUAGUUGGUGAGGUAAAGGCUCACCAAGGCGACGAUCAGUAGCUGGUCUGAGAGGACGACCAGCCACACUGGAACUGAGACACGGUCCAGACUCCUACGGGAGGCAGCAGUGGGGAAUUUUGGACAAUGGGCGCAAGCCUGAUCCAGCCAUUCCGCGUGAGUGAAGAAGGCCUUCGGGUUGUAAAGCUCUUUCGCAAGGGAAGAAAACUUACUCAAUAACACUGGGUGAGGCUGACGGUACCUUGAUAAGAAGCACCGGCUAACUACGUGCCAGCAGCCGCGGUAAUACGUAGGGUGCGAGCGUUAAUCGGAAUUACUGGGCGUAAAGCGUGCGCAGGCGGUUUUGUAAGUCAGAUGUGAAAGCCCCGGGCUCAACCUGGGAACUGCGUUUGAAACUACA
rnacentral:rRNA from 1 species